CCUACGGGUGGCAGCAGUAGGGAAUAUUGCUCAAUGGGGGAAACCCUGAAGCAGCAACGCCGCGUGGAGGAUGAAGGUUUUCGGAUUGUAAACUCCUUUUGUUAGAGAAGAAAAUGACGGUAUCUAACGAAUAAGCACCGUCUAACUCCGUGCCAGCAGCCGGGGGAAUACGGAGGGAGCAAGCGUUACUCGGAAGCACUGGGCGUAAAGAGCGCGUAUGGGGGAUAGCAAGUCAGAUGGGAAAUCCUAUGGCUUAACCAUAGAACUGCAUUUGAAACUGUUAUUCUAGAGUAUGGGAGAGGUAGGUGGAAUGCUUGGUGUAGGGGUAAAAUCCGUAGAGAUCAAGAGGAAUACUCAUUGCGAAGGCGACCUGCUAGAACAUAACUGACGCUGAUGCGCGAAAGCGUGGGUAGCAAACAGGAUUAGAUACCCUGGUAGUC
rnacentral:rRNA from 1 species